rnacentral:lncRNA from 1 species
CUACAUUGUCAGUUGUUAGGGAAGAAAUUGAAAACAAGUAUGUAGCAAUCUCAAUGACCAAGGUCACCCAAGCAGCAGUUCACCACUAAUGGGCUCAACUUUGAGCACCUCUUGUAAUUGUAGUGCCCAAAGAUAACUUGCAUUAAUCUCAUUAUAUCUCAAUAAAUGCAGUAUUUACUUAUACAAGUUUUUCUUUUCCUGAAGUGUGUAUACAUUUUGGGGGCAGAAUCUGUAUAUGUAUGUAUACAUACAUAUAUUCCUGGUAUACCUUUGCUGACUGUCUGGUACUGGCAAAAGCAGAUAGUGAUAUGUGUGUGUGUGUGUGUGUGUGUGUGUGUGGUGUCUGAUACUGUGUGAGAUAGCACAUGUGAUUUCAUUGUGAAUAUUGGUAGAUGGUGUGACAGUAGCCUUACAUGUUGGAGGAAGUGUUUAUGACCUCAGCACAUGCAGCUCUGUGGAAGGGCUGAAGGCGUGGUGAAGAAGUGACUUUUGUGUGAGAACAUAUGCGUAUUAGAAGGGCACAAGAGUUUUCUAGUAUUUUGUCUACUAGUAGCAUUAUGAAAUUAAAACAGGUUAUCCAUGUGAGGUAAUAGAUUAUCUGUGUGAGGUGAUAUGAAGUUAUUUACAGGAUUAAGGUGUAAAAUGGUGAGUGAGUCUGAGAAUGACUUCUGGAAUGUGGGCAUAAGGCUGUACCUAUGUAACGCUGAUACUGGGAAAAUAGGGAGAGGAGAUAGUUAUGAGAAAGAUAAAAAGGUGAAAUGGUCUGUACUUAGUAGAAAGGAGUGUGACAUGUGAGUGUGAGCUGAGUUUAUACACUGAUCUGAGGGGGAAGACUCUGAUCAUCCCACCUCCUGCACAUCACAUAGGCCACUGCCUCACCCACAGUGGCCCCAGCGUUCACAUGAAAAUGUGUGCUGAGCAACGCUGUCCUCCUCUAGAAGGCAGAUUUCCUAUCUGCCCCUCCCCAGAGGGAGUCAGUGUUCAUCCCUCUUCCCUGAAGACCUUUCGUGAAUGCACUCGCUUGAAGAAGAGCUGCACAGCGAAUGUUCUGAGACUGAGCAAUUCUCUCCUGCAUCCAGAUUUGAACUUGGGACCAUCUCAUGAGUCUCAGCGGUAUCCUCUGGAGAGUCCGUGCAAUUCUGAAGUGGAAGCAAACAGCAGCAACAAAAAUAUCGAUACAUAGCAUAGUCUGGGUCUGUGUGAUUUUGAAACAUACAUUGAGUAGAUAGUUUGUUUCUGCCAUCGUUAGCACCCAUGGUAAUUCCUCAC